GCACUGAGUUUCAGACAUGGAGAACCUGCUCUUGUAUCUGAAAAGUGUUACUGCUACCUGGCAGAGCUCCAGUUCCACUCCCAGGGUGAUUGGUACCGUCCUCACCUUCCAGUGUGGACUGGGGUUCUUCCUCAUCUUCCUUCCCUACGUCCAGAAUAAUCCAUCUUCACGACCACCUUGCAAACAUAGAAACAUGAGGAAGGUAAGGAACCCUUGGCCAAGACCCACCAGAAGUUGAUUCUCUCUUCUUUUCUACUGUGAUGUCCACUUUUCUGAAUCAACUAGAGAGACUCCUGGUCCUGGAAUGGGCAAGAAUAGAACAUCACCCUUCUAGCGACAAGCCAGGUGGGGAGGCAGGACUUAGAGUAGGCACAAGGAUUUCCAUGCGAAGAUCUCGGAGCAGGAGUCCAGGUGUGGCUGAGGGCUCCAGGCAAACUCUCCAGUGCAGUGACCAGCGGCUGAGGACUGGAUGCUGAGCGGGACCUGUGUGGGAAGACAGGCCCUGAGCACUGGUUCCCCAUCUGCCUUCCCGUGGCAGGUGGAUGAGCCGGACCUUUCCUCGUGGGAGCUGAUCUGAGAGCAGUGCUGAGCCCCCGAGAGCCUCCGAGCAGGGCCUGGAGUGGGGCUCUGGCCUCGGGAAGCAGAGUCCUGCCUGAGAAGCUCAGAAGCAUCUGUAGGUCUGAGAAGGUGCGUGUUUCUUGAGCAGAGGACAGUGAUGGAAGAAAUCCAUGGUGGGUCUCACACAGAAAAUCCUUAUGUUCUUCAAAGAAGGAAGACAGCAAAUAGCCAUUUUAUGUUCAAAAGGGAAGAAAGACCACAGAGCUCCAGGAGUUCAGUAUAGAAGGUCCUCUUGCUCAUGAACGCUGAGCGUCUGCAGCUGGCCUAGACAGAGGAGAGGGAGCACUGGGUCUCAGCCCCUGGUGUCUUUAGUUUUUUCUCGCUUCUCAGCAUCAAGAGCAGCCGAGGGGGAGGAGCAGCAGGAGUAGGAGGAAAAGUGGAACUUUGCAAGCUUACAGAGAUGGUCAGAAAGGACUAGAAGAAGUGCGGGGCCUGAUUUCUCUUCCACAAAGAUCAAGAAUCUUUUCAUCUCUCCUGGGUCCCUCUUUCUCCCAGAACCUCUGAUGUGGCUCCAGGGCUGUAGGCAGCUUGGGACUGAGCUGGGAGGGGGCCAUGGGGACAGGGUGUGGCUAAAGGCCUGUGGUGAGGGACAACAGGAGAAUUUUGUGACUUGAGGGUUGAGGCUGUGGAGGGCCGUGGCCCUUAAUGGCCACACUGCCUGGCCUGCCCAGCCCUCCUGGGACCCUCUGCUCCUGGCUACAGCUUGUGCCUCCUGUCUCCUGCAGUUCCUGGGGAGGUUCUCUCACAAGGCUGGCUUUCAUUGGCUGUCAUGUCCAGACUCCCCUGGGGAGGUCCACAAAACAGCAUAUGCUGAGCCCAUCAGCCAUGCAGGGAGCCUGUGGAAGAUGCUGCCCUCGCCAUGUCGCCAGGAGUUCCCCUGGCUCCUCUGACCGAGCACCCCUGACCUCUCCCAUGGUCCACUUUCCCGCCUCAGCCACCUGUGAAUCUGGGGCCUCUCGGAAGCCAACUUUACCAAGUUCUUGAGAAAACUUCUUCAGUCUUCUCCACCAGAGAAACAUAACAGUUAAAUAACAAAAGAGUCACUUCCUACCCUGGCCCGUCCCCUCUCUGCUCCCUCACCUGUGCGUGAGGAAAUCCAGAAGGCCCUGGAGGGACUCUACCUGGUGAUGGCUGUGGGCCCUCAGAGGCCCCUCUGAUGGACAGGAGGACAGGCCGCCUUCUCAGACCUUCACACUCAGCCUCCCGGGCAGAAGCUGGCAGAGUGGGACGGUCGUGGGGGCCGAGCGAGGCAGUUAGAGUUGAGUCCAGGUUCAGCAAUGGCCAGGAAUGAGCCAAGGGAGGAGAGUAGGGUGGGGCCUCACAAGAUCCCUGCCGUGGGGUAGCAAGACUGGAGGGCAGCUCAGGGUCCCAGUCUUCGGGGGCUGAGGGGCCCAGCGAGCUUGUGGAGUUUGAGGAGGCGCUUCUUUGACGUCUCAUGUUGAGACCCAGUGUGCUGGCCAACUCCCCAAACCGUGAAUGUGCCUGUGAGGAAUCCAGCGUCUCCAGGGUCCAGGACAAGCCCCUCACCACCUACAAAGUCAGUUGCCCAAGAUCCAAAGGAGCUGUGCUUGAAAAUGAAGCUCACCCAUAAGACUGAGCUGUAAAGGAAGGUCGUGUCAGAGACCCAGCCUCAAGGCCAUGCUGCUGGCCGGCUCCUUCGAGACUCUCACACUUGUGUGCUCCAUGCCACACAUGUGUUGGCUUCUCACUGGUCACUGUCCAGGUCCCAGAGGGAAUACAACAGUGGGGACGUGGCAGCUUGCCAGGUGCCAUAUGACCUCCAAUCUAGUAGACGGGGGAUUCAGGGGCAGCAGCAGCCUAGGAGACCAAAACGUAAGGCCCCAUGGAAGAGUCGGCUUCCCCAAGUUGCUGAGAAGGAGGAGUAUAUGAGUCCCGGACCAGGAGAGGAUGGAGAGAGAUUUCCAGGACUGGGGGCUUCCCAGGCCAGUGGGAUGAGCCACUCUCCCCUGGUCAGCGGAAUAGGAGACAUCCUUGGGAGCAAAGACCUCCAGCUCCUGCCAGAGAAGGAACAGGGUUUUCCAGAACGCUGAUUCAGGAAGAGGAUGAGACUCCUUCUGCCCUGUCUGAAGCCCAGUAAAGAAGACAAAGCACCAGAAGAUCCCCUUCCAGAAGGCCAGCCUGCGUCUGCCACGGCCCAGAGCCAGGGACCAGUCAGAAACAGCUCAGUUCUAGACGGCAGGGCUGUUGAAGCUCAGCCGAUGGUGAUAUCUUUUGGACUAGCCCUGGGAGAGAAAUUGGGGCUUUGCUGAGGACUUCACAUCUCCCAGUUAAAGCAGCACCAGGAACAAUUUCAGGCCUGGGUAGCGG
rnacentral:lncRNA from 1 species